rnacentral:lncRNA from 1 species
CUGGAAGGAAUCUGGGGUGCCUCCACUGGAAAGGAGUGCUGUGUUUCAAUGGGCAGGAAGAACAAUGGGCAUGGCUGUCUUCAUGGCCAAAGAGGUGGACCAUGGCACAUAUUUCUAGUGUUCCUUCUCUUCUUUAAGGGGAAGACACUCUGCCCCAUCUCUCCCCUGUGCCCACUAGCUGAAACAUGGAUGUGGUAGUAGAAGCCAUCUGCAACCAGAUGGGCAAGGGCAACACCUUCAAGAUGGCAGAGCAACAGGAUUAAAGAGGCUGGGUCCCAA